GACGGAGGGUGCAAGCGUUUGUUCGGAUUGACUGGGCGUAAAGGGCGUGUAGGCGGUUGCCCAAGUCCGUUGUGAAAGCCCGAGGCUCAGCCUCGGAAGUGCAUCGGAAACUAGGCAGCUGGAGCGCGAUAGAGGAGGGUAGAAUUCCUGGUGUAGCGGUGAAAUGCGCAGAUAUCAGGAGGAACACCGGUGGCGAAGGCGGGUCUCUGGGCCGAUAUUGACGCUGAGGAGCGAAAGCGUGGGGAGCGAACAGG
rnacentral:rRNA from 1 species